rnacentral:miRNA from 1 species
GGGAUCUUGUUAAAAUGCAGAUUCUGAUUAAAUAUGUCUUAGGAUAAGGCCAGAGUUUCUGCAUUUUUAACAAGCUC